rnacentral:rRNA from 1 species
GCGAAAAGAACCCCGGCGAGGGGAGUGAAAAAGAACCUGAAACCGUGUACGUACAAGCAGUGGGAGCACGCUUAGGCGUGUGACUGCGUACCUUUUGUAUAAUGGGUCAGCGACUUAUAUUCUGUAGCAAGGUUAACCGAAUAGGGGAGCCGAAGGGAAACCGAGUCUUAACUGGGCGUUAAGUUGCAGGGUAUAGACCCGAAACCCGGUGAUCUAGCCAUGGGCAGGUUGAAGGUUGGGUAACACUAACUGGAGGACCGAACCGACUAAUGUUGAAAAAUUAGCGGAUGACUUGUGGCUGGGGGUGAAAGGCCAAUCAAACCGGGAGAUAGCUGGUUCUCCCCGAAAGCUAUUUAGGUAGCGCCUCGUGAAUUCAUCUCCGGGGGUAGAGCACUGUUUCGGCAAGGGGGUCAUCCCGACUUACCAACCCGAUGCAAACUGCGAAUACCGGAGAAUGUUAUCACGGGAGACACACGGCGGGUGCUAACGUCCGUCGUGAAGAGGGAAACAACCCAGACCGCCAGCUAAGGUCCCAAAGUCAUGGUUAAGUGGGAAACGAUGUGGGAAGGCCCAGACAGCCAGGAUGUUGGCUUAGAAGCAGCCAUCAUUUAAAGAAAGCGUAAUAGCUCACUGGUCGAGUCGGCCUGCGCGGAAGAUGUAACGGGGCUAAACCAUG